GGGGGAGUGGCGGAACUGGCAGACGCGCCGGACUUAAAAUCCGGCGGCCUUCACGGGUCGUGCGGGUUCGAUCCCCGCCUCCCUCA
rnacentral:tRNA from 2 species